rnacentral:rRNA from 1 species
UACGUAGGGUGCAAGCGUUGUCCGGAAUUAUUGGGCGUAAAGAGCUCGUAGGCGGUUUGUCGCGUCUGCUGUGAAAACUCGAGGCUCAACCUCGGGCUUGCAGUGGGUACGGGCAGACUAGAGUGCGGUAGGGGAGACUGGAAUUCCUGGUGUAGCGGUGGAAUGCGCAGAUAUCAGGAGGAACACCGAUGGCGAAGGCAGGUCUCUGGGCCGCAACUGACGCUGAGGAGCGAAAGCGUGGGGAGCGAACAGG